rnacentral:rRNA from 1 species
UGAAUUGAAGCCCCAGUAAACGGCGGCCGUAACUAUAACGGUCCUAAGGUAGCGAAAUUCCUUGUCGGGUAAGUUCCGACCUGCACGAAUGGCGUAACGAUCUCCACACUGUCUCGGCCAGAGACUCGGUGAAAUUGAAGUCGCGGUGAAAAUGCCGUGUACCCGCAGAAAGACGGAAAGACCCUGUGCACCUUUACUAUAGCUUGACAUUGGGAUUUGAGCCUGCAUGUGUAGCAUAGGUGGGAGGCUGUGAACUCUGUACGCCAGUAUGGAGGGAGCCAUCGUUGAAAUACCACCCUUGUUUGUUCAGGUCCCUAACUCCUUGCCGUGAUCCGGUAGGAGGACAGUGUCUGGUGGGUAGUUUGACUGGGGCGGUCGCCUCCCAAAAUGUAACGGAGGCAUGCAAAGGUUCCCUCAGGCUGAUUGGAAACCAGCCGUCGAGUGCAAACGCAAAAGGGAGCUUGACUGCAAGAGAGACAUCUCGAGCAGGUACGAAAGUAGGUGUUAGUGAUCCGGUGAUCCCGAAUGGAAGGGUCAUCGCUCAUUGGAUAAAAGGUACGCCGGGGAUAACAGGCUGAUCGCAUCCAAGAGUUCACAUCGACGAUGCGGUUUGGCACCUCGAUGUCGGCUCAUCACAUCCUGGGGCUGAAGCAGGUCCCAAGGGUACGGCUGUUCGCCGUUUAAAGUGGUACGCGAGCUGGGUUUAAAACGUCGUGAGACAGUUUGGUCCCUAUCUUCUGUGGGCGUAGGAGAAUUGAAAGGGCCUGUCCCUAGUACGAGAGGACCGGGAUGGACACACCACUGGUGGACCUGUUGUCGUGCCAACGGCACAGCAGGGUAGCUAUGUGUGGAAGGGAUAACCGCUGAAAGCAUCUAAGCGGGAAGCCUGCCUUAAGAUAAGUUCUCCCUGACGCAAGUCCUGAAGGGCCGAGGUAGACGACCUCGUUGAUAGGCUGGAGGUGGAAGCCCUGUGAGGGGUGGAGCUGACCAGUACUAAUAGCCCGUGCGUCUUGUUUCU